rnacentral:rRNA from 1 species
GACGAACGCUGGCGGCGUGCCUAAUACAUGCAAGUCGAACGAACUCUGGUAUUGAUUGGUGCUUGCAUCAUGAUUUACAUUUGAGUGAGUGGCGAACUGGUGAGUAACACGUGGGAAACCUGCCCAGAAGCGGGGGAUAACACCUGGAAACAGAUGCUAAUACCGCAUAACAACUUGGACCGCAUGGUCCGAGUUUGAAAGAUGGCUUCGGCUAUCACUUUUGGAUGGUCCCGCGGCGUAUUAGCUAGAUGGUGAGGUAACGGCUCACCAUGGCAAUGAUACGUAGCCGACCUGAGAGGGUAAUCGGCCACAUUGGGACUGAGACACGGCCCAAACUCCUACGGGAGGCAGCAGUAGGGAAUCUUCCACAAUGGACGAAAGUCUGAUGGAGCAACGCCGCGUGAGUGAAGAAGGGUUUCGGCUCGUAAAACUCUGUUGUUAAAGAAGAACAUAUCUGAGAGUAACUGUUCAGGUAUUGACGGUAUUUAACCAGAAAGCCACGGCUAACUACGUGCCAGCAGCCGCGGUAAUACGUAGGUGGCAAGCGUUGUCCGGAUUUAUUGGGCGUAAAGCGAGCGCAGGCGGUUUUUUAAGUCUGAUGUGAAAGCCUUCGGCUCAACCGAAGAAGUGCAUCGGAAACUGGGAAACUUGAGUGCAGAAGAGGACAGUGGAACUCCAUGUGUAGCGGUGAAAUGCGUAGAUAUAUGGAAGAACACCAGUGGCGAAGGCGGCUGUCUGGUCUGUAACUGACGCUGAGGCUCGAAAGUAUGGGUAGCAAACAGGAUUAGAUACCCUGGUAGUCCAUACCGUAAACGAUGAAUGCUAAGUGUUGGAGGGUUUCCGCCCUUCAGUGCUGCAGCUAACGCAUUAAGCAUUCCGCCUGGGGAGUACGGCCGCAAGGCUGAAACUCAAAGGAAUUGACGGGGGCCCGCACAAGCGGUGGAGCAUGUGGUUUAAUUCGAAGCUACGCGAAGAACCUUACCAGGUCUUGACAUACUAUGCAAAUCUAAGAGAUUAGACGUUCCCUUCGGGGACAUGGAUACAGGUGGUGCAUGGUUGUCGUCAGCUCGUGUCGUGAGAUGUUGGGUUAAGUCCCGCAGCGAGCGCAACCCUUAUUAUCAGUUGCCAGCAUUAAGUUGGGCACUCUGGUGAGACUGCCGGUGACAAACCGGAGGAAGGUGGGGAUGACGUCAAAUCAUCAUGCCCCUUAUGACCUGGGCUACACACGUGCUACAAUGGAUGGUACAACGAGUUGCGAACUCGCGAGAGUAAGCUAAUCUCUUAAAGCCAUUCUCAGUUCGGAUUGUAGGCUGCAACUCGCCUACAUGAAGUCGGAAUCGCUAGUAAUCGCGGAUCAGCAUGCCGCGGUGAAUACGUUCCCGGGCCUUGUACACACCGCCCGUCACACCAUGAGAGUUUGUAACACCCAAAGUCGGUGGGGUAACCUUUUAGGAACCAGCCGCCUAAGGUGGGACAGAUGAUUAGGGUG